CCUACGGGAGGCAGCAGUGAGGAAUAUUGGUCAAUGGACGAGAGUCUGAACCAGCCAAGUAGCGUGAAGGAUGACUGCCCUAUGGGUUGUAAACUUCUUUUAUAUGGGAAUAAAAUGUUCCACGUGUGGGAUUUUGUAUGUACCAUAUGAAUAAGGCUCGGCUAACUCCGUGCCAGCAGCCGCGGUAAUACGGAGGAUCCGAGCGUUAUCCGGAUUUAUUGGGUUUAAAGGGAGCGUAGGUGGAUUGUUAAGUCAGUUGUGAAAGUUUGCGGCUCAACCGUAAAAUUGCAGUUGACACUGGCAGUCUUGAGUACAGUAGAGGUGGGCGGAAUUCGUGGUGUAGCGGUGAAAUGCUUAGAUAUCACGAAGAACUCCGAUUGCGAAGGCAGUUCACUGGACUGCAACUGACACUGAGGCUCGAAAGUGUGGGUAUCAAACAGGAUUAGAUACCCUUGUAGUC
rnacentral:rRNA from 1 species